AUUCACCAUUAUUAUCCAUGUAAACAGUUUAGUUGGAAUAUUCUCUUUUUUAGGAAUAAGGGCAAACCCGAAAUAUAUUGUGCAUGUAAACAUAGUCAGUGAAAUAAUUAAAUACAGC